UGGGGAAUAUUGGACAAUGGGGGCAACCCUGAUCCAGCAAUGCCGCGUGUGUGAAGAAGGCCUUCGGGUUGUAAAGCACUUUAGGCUGGGAAGAAGUUGUUUCGUUUAAGAGAUGAGACAAUUGACGGUACCGGCAGAAUAAGCACCGGCUAACUCUGUGCCAGCAGCCGCGGUAAUACAGAGGGUGCGAGCGUUAAUCGGAAUUACUGGGCGUAAAGGGCGCGUAGGUGGUUUAUUAAGAUUGUUGUGAAAUCCCUGGGCUUAACCUAGGAACUGCAACGAUGACUGAUAAGCUUGAGUACUGUAGAGGGUAGUGGAAUUUCCGGUGUAGCGGUGAAAUGCGUAGAGAUCGGAAGGAACACCGGUGGCGAAGGCGGCUACCUGGACAGAUACUGACACUGAGGCGCGAGAGCGUGGGGAGCAAACAGGAUUAGAUACCCCGGUAGUCC
rnacentral:rRNA from 1 species